UACAGAGGUCUCAAGCGUUGUCCGGAAUCAUUGGGCGUAAAGCGCGUGUAGGCGGCUCGAUAAGUCUGUUGUGAAAGUCCAGGGCUCAACCCUGGGAUGCCGGUGGAUACUGUCGAGCUCGAGUCCGGAAGAGGCGAGUGGAAUUCCUGGUGUAGCGGUGAAAUGCGCAGAUAUCAGGAGGAACACCAAUGGCGAAGGCAGCUCGCUGGGACGUGACUGACGCUGAGACGCGAAAGCGUGGGGAGCAAACAGG
rnacentral:rRNA from 1 species